rnacentral:rRNA from 1 species
CCUACGGGUGGCAGCAGUGGGGAAUAUUGGACAAUGGGGGCAACCCUGAUCCAGCCAUGCCGCGUGUGUGAAGAAGGCCCUCGGGUUGUAAAGCACUUUCAGUGAGGAAGAACGCCUGGUGGUUAAUACCCAUCAGGAAAGACAUCACUCACAGAAGAAGCACCGGCUAACUCCGUGCCAGCAGCCGCGGUAAUACGGAGGGUGCGAGCGUUAAUCGGAAUUACUGGGCGUAAAGCGCGCGUAGGUGGCUUGAUAAGCCGGUUGUGAAAGCCCCGGGCUCAACCUGGGAACGGCAUCCGGAACUGUCAAGCUAGAGUGCAGGAGAGGAAGGUAGAAUUCCCGGUGUAGCGGUGAAAUGCGUAGAGAUCGGGAGGAAUACCAGUGGCGAAGGCGGCCUUCUGGACUGACACUGACGCUGAGGUGCGAAAGCGUGGGUAGCAAACAGGAUUAGAUACCCCAGUAGUC